rnacentral:rRNA from 1 species
AGCGAACGCUGGCGGCAUGCCUAACACAUGCAAGUCGCACGGGGGGGCUUCGGCCUCCCAGUGGCGGACGGGUGAGGAACGCGUAGGGACCUGUCGAGGGGUGGGGGAUAACCGCGGGAAACUGCGGCUAAUACCGCCUGACGCCGCGGCGUGACAGCCGGGGCCAAAGGCGAAAGACGCUCGCCGAGGCGCCUGCGUCCGAUUAGCUGGUUGGCGGGGUAGCGGCCCACCAAGGCGUCGAUCGGUAGCUGGGCUGAGAGGGUGCUCAGCCACACCGAGACUGAGACACAGCCCGGAAUCCUACGGGAGGCAGCAGUGGGGAAUAUUGGAAAAUGGGGGCAAGCCUGAUCCAGCAAUGCCGCGUGGGUGAAGAAGGUCUUCAGAUUGUAAAGCCCUUUCGGCGGGGACGAUGGUGACGGUACCCGAAGAAGAAGCCCCGGCUAACUUCGUG